CCUACGGGAGGCAGCAGUGAGGAAUAUUGGUCAAUGGACGAGAGUCUGAACCAGCCAAGUAGCGUGAAGGAUGACUGCCCUAUGGGUUGUAAACUUCCUUUAUAUGGGAAUAAAACGUUCCACGUGUGGGAUUUUGUAUGUACCAUAUGAAUAAGGAUCGGCUAACUCCGUGCCAGCAGCCGCGGUAAUACGGAGGAUCCGAGCGUUAUCCGGAUUUAUUGGGUUUAAAGGGAGCGUAGGUGGAUUGUUAAGUCAGUUGUGAAAGUUUGCGGCUCAACCGUAAAAUUGCAGUUGAAACUGGCAGUCUUGAGUACAGUAGAGGUGGGCGGAAUUCGUGGUGUAGCGGUGAAAUGCUUAGAUAUCACGAAGAACUCCGAUUGCGAAGGCAGUUCACUGGACUGCAACUGACACUGAGGCUCGAAAGUGUGGGUAUCAAACAGGAUUAGAUACCCGAGUAGUC
rnacentral:rRNA from 1 species